rnacentral:rRNA from 1 species
GAUGAACGCUGGCGGCGUGCCUAAUACAUGCAAGUCGAGCGAACAGAUAAGGAGCUUGCUCCUUUGACGUUAGCGGCGGACGGGUGAGUAACACGUGGGUAACCUACCUAUAAGACUGGGAUAACUUCGGGAAACCGGAGCUAAUACCGGAUAAUAUUUCGAACCGCAUGGUUCGAUAGUGAAAGAUGGUUUUGCUAUCACUUAUAGAUGGACCCGCGCCGUAUUAACUAGUUGGUAAGGUAACGGCUUACCAAGGCGACGAUACGUAGCCGACCUGAGAGGGUGAUCGGCCACACUGGAACUGAGACACGGUCCAGACUCCUACGGGAGGCAGCAGUAGGGAAUCUUCCGCAAUGGGCGAAAGCCUGACGGAGCAACGCCGCGUGAGUGAUGAAGGUCUUCGGAUCGUAAAACUCUGUUAUUAGGGAAGAACAUACGUGUAAGUAACUGUGCACGUCUUGACGGUACCUAAUCAGAAAGCCACGGCUAACUACGUG